UCAAAUCCUCCCUUACUAUUUCAAAAUAAUAAAUAAAGGAAAUUCCUUUUUAUUUUAAAAAAUUUUGGGGUCUUACAACCUCCCCUCCUUAUGAAAUUUCGUCCUCGAAAUUGACGUACGUACCUGGUGUUUCGAAAAGAUGAAAAUACCUCGCUUUCAUUUCCGUUUCCAACUCCCAGGUCAUUUCAUCAAUAGCAUGGUUUCUCCACAAAACUUUAACUUGUGGUAUAACCUCGGUACAUAGGACAUGUUCUUUCCUAUCCAAGAUGUUGACAGGUACCUCCUCAUACGUUAAGUCUUCGGCUAUCUCGUCCGGUUCUAACUCAAUAACGUGGUUCGGGUC
rnacentral:lncRNA from 1 species